rnacentral:rRNA from 1 species
AAUGAACGCUGGCGGCGUGCCUAACACAUGCAAGUCGCGCGCGAUGGGGAGCAAUCCCCGGAGAGCGGCGGACGGGUGAGUAACGCGUGGAUAACCUGCCCUUGAAUGGGGAAUAACCCGGGGAAACUCGGGCUAAUACCGCAUACGACCGAGAGGUGAAAGGGGGCUCGCAAGGGCUCUCGUUCGAGGAGGGGUCCGCGUUCGAUUAGCUAGUUGGUAGGGUAAUGGCCUACCAAGGCGACGAUCGAUAGCCGGCCUGAGAGGGUGAUCGGCCACACUGGAACUGAGACACGGUCCAGACUCCUACGGGAGGCAGCAGUGGGAAUUUUGCGCAAUGGGCGAGAGCCUGACGCAGCAACGCCGCGUGGAGGAUGAAGGUCUUUGGA